rnacentral:rRNA from 1 species
GACGAACGCUGGCGGCGUGCUUAACACAUGCAAGUCGAACGGUAAGGCCCUUCGGGGUACACGAGUGGCGAACGGGUGAGUAACGCGUGAGUAACCUGCCCUUCACUCUGGGAUAACAGUUGGAAACGGCUGCUAAUACCGGAUAUUCAGCUCCUGUCGCAUGGUGGGGGUUGGAAAGUUUUGGUGGUGGAGGAUGGGCUCGCGUCCUAUCAGCUUGUUGGUGGGGUGAUGGCCUACCAAGGCGUCGACGGGUAGCCGGCCUGAGAGGGCGACCGGCCACUUGGGGCCUGGAUAACGGCCCAAACCCCUACGGGGGGCAGAGGGGGGGAAUAUUGCCCAAGGGGGGGAAGCCGGAUGCAGCAACGCCGGGGGGGGGAUGCCGGCCUUCGGGUGGUAAACCGCUUUCAGCAGGGACGAAGCGAAAGUGAGGGUACCUGCAAAAGAAGCACCGGCUAACUACGU